rnacentral:rRNA from 1 species
GACGAACGCUGGCGGCGUGCUUAACACAUGCAAGUCGAACGGAAAGGCCCUGCUUUUGUGGGGUGCUCGAGUGGCGAACGGGUGAGUAACACGUGAGUAACCUGCCCUUGACUUUGGGAUAACUUCAGGAAACUGGGGCUAAUACCGGAUAGGAGCUCCUGCUGCAUGGUGGGGGUUGGAAAGUUUCGGCGGUUGGGGAUGGACUCGCGGCUUAUCAGCUUGUUGGUGGGGUAGUGGCUUACCAAGGCUUUGACGGGUAGCCGGCCUGAGAGGGUGACCGGCCACAUUGGGACUGAGAUACGGCCCAGACUCCUACGGGAGGCAGCAGUGGGGAAUAUGGCACAAUGGGCGGAGGCCGGAUGCAGCAACGCCGCGUGCGGGAUGACGGCCUUCGGGUUGUAAACCGCUUUCGCCUGGGACGAAGCGUGAGUGACGGUAAUGGGUAAAGAAGCACCGGCUAACUACGU